rnacentral:rRNA from 1 species
GGAGGGUGCGAGCGUUAAUCGGAAUCAUUGGGCGUAAAGGGUGCGUAGGUGGCAAUUUAAGUCAGAUGUGAAAUCCCAGGGCUUAACCUUGGAAUUGCAUAUGAAACUGGAUAGCUAGAGUACAGUAGAGGGAAGUGGAAUUUCCGGUGUAGCGGUGAAAUGCGUAGAUAUCGGAAGGAACACCAGUGGCGAAGGCGGCUUCCUGGACUGUUACUGACACUGAGGCACGAAAGCGUGGGGAGCAAACAGGGAUUAGAUACCCUGGUAGUCCACGCUGUAAACGAUGAAUACUAGAUGUUAGGGUGUUUAACACUUUAGUAUCGAAGCUAACGCGAUAAGUAUUCCGCCUGGGGAGUACGCCGCAAGGUUA